rnacentral:misc_RNA from 1 species
GAUGAAGAACGUAGCGAAAUGCGAUAAGUAAUGUGAAUUGCAGAAUUCAGUGAAUCAUCGAAUCUUUGAACGCACCUUGCACCCUUUGGCAAUCUGAAGGGUAUGCUCGUUUGAGUGUCAUUGUACUCUCACACUCCCGAUCUUUGCAUUGGGAGCAGUGGACUUGGGUUUGCUGCUUCACCGUCGCUUACCUCAAAUAGGUUAGUGCAACUCUUGGUUGGACAUAGUACGGCGUGAUAAGUGUUCUUCGCCGGUGCCUCGCAAAGAGGGUGGCCGAUCGGGAUGUUGUGCUCCAAACCGUCUUCGGACAAUCUCUGACGACUUGACCUCAAAUCGAGUAAGACUACCCGCUGAACUUAAGCAUAUCAAUAAGCGGAGGA